rnacentral:misc_RNA from 1 species
GAAAUGCGAUAAGUAAUGUGAAUUGCAGAAUUCAGUGAAUCAUCGAAUCUUUGAACGCACCUUGCGCUCCUUGGUAUUCCUUGGAUCAUGCCUGUUUGAGUAUCAUGAUAUCUUCAAAGUAAAUCUUUUGUUAACUCAAUUGGUUUCUACUUUGGUAUUGGAGGUCUUUGCAGCUUCACACCUGCUCCUCUUUGUUCAUUAGCUGGAUCUCAGUGUUAUGCUUGGUUCCACUCGGCGUGAUAAGUUAUCUAUCGCUGAGGACACUGUAAAAGGUGGCCAAGGUAAAUGCAGAUGAACCGCUUCUAAUAGUCCAUUGACUUGGACAAUACUUUUAUGAUCUGAUCUCAAAUCAGGUAGGACUACCCGCUGAACUUAAGC